rnacentral:lncRNA from 1 species
ACUCGGCCAUGAAAGUCUUUGAAGGUGGGGAAGGGGUGAAGAUGGUGAGGGGAUUCCACGGCUGGGAGAGGUACACUCCCUACACGUUCUAACCAACUGGCCGUGGGGAGGAAGCUGGAGGUCAGGACACAGCAAAUGGGGGAUCUCAGAAGUCUUAAUGAAGUAACUAUCCCUGAACACUGGGAUCAAUACUCAGCAUCCAGCUGUCAAAUCAACACCAAGCGUUUCACUCGUCGCCCAGCCUAGAGUGCAAUGGCGCUAUUUCGGCUCAUUAUAACCUCCGCCUCCCGGGUUCAAGCAAUUCUUCUGCUUCAGCGUCCCAAGUAGCUGGGAUUACAGCCGCCUCCUGGAGCAGAUUGUUAAGCUGAUGCGAGUCUGGGCUCUGCCUCACCACUUGUCUCAGAGGAAUCUCGGCCAAGAAGACAGGGACAAGCUCCCAACUCUGACUACCCCUUUUACAGGGAAAAAAAAAAAAUCCCGUGCCUUCUUUGCAGCAAGUGACAAAUCCUUGUCAUAUCGAGAUGGCUUUUCCUCCUCCUCUUCAAACAUCUUUUAGCAGCAACAGCAGCUCAAGUAACUGGAAUUAUUUCAGAGUUAAAAUGCAGGCUUUGUAGACCCUCUUAGACAGACAGAUUCAAUUUCAAAGGAAACUUCUUUGGCUGGGUACUCAGUGAGUGUUACACAGGGAUUUGGGGAGUUAAUAUUCACUGUUUCUGUUGUUGGAGAAAAGGAAAGCAGAGUUGCUCUUUCUCAUUACUCUCCCCAACGCACAUCUGUUUCCUCUCGUAUCUUGGAAUUAGGAAGAUGGAGGAGACUUAAGUGGUGACCCACCUAGCCUCCUGAUGCAUGCUGGGCUCACUUUAAAACUCCCAAAACAGAUGGCAGUUGAUCACGGUUUUAAAGAUCCCAGCAUAGACUUUCUGCAGCCUCCCUUGUUAGCCACUAUCAGCGCUUAACAUUCUGUCAUCUGAAUAACUCCUUAAAAAUGAUAGCAAUGGUAGUAGAAAUUUAAAAGGAACCUCCCAAAAAACAUGCAAAAGCUUACCACCCCAGUAAAUCACCCGCAACAAUGUCGCAACAGUUUAAAUUUACUGCAGAGAGAGCUGAAGUUUAGGAGACACAGCUUUAUAAUAUUUUUGAGAGAUAGUUGAGUGCAAAUGAGUCCUGUUCCUCUUGCAUCAGGGCCUGCUCCACUGAGUCAUCCUGCCUUCAGAAGCUUCCAGCUAAGUGGCAGGCCCCGGCCAUAGGCUCCCUGUGUCCCCAGCCUCCAGAGAACACACAAUGUUCUCAUCGCCCUUAGCUCCAUUCCAGAAGGGGCCUGCAGUUCUGCAGCUUAUCAGGGGUCUACUGGGAAGUGAGAUGUCACUGUCCCUUUCUGGCCCUGCAUUGUCUGUGAGUGGCUCUCCUGGAUUAAGAGUUGGCAAAGUAUGGCCAGUGGCCAGGACUGGCCUGCUGCCUGUUUUUGUUUAACCCGUGAGCUAAGAAUAGUUUUUACCUAUUUUAAGUAGUUGAAAAAAAAAUCAAGAGAAGAAUACUAUUUCGUGAUAUGUGAAAAAUCACAUGAAAUUCAAAUGUAAGUGUCCAUAAAUAAAGUCUUACUGGAAGACA